CUCAGCUGCAUCAAGUGAUGAAUAUCAAGUGUUCCAGAUGGUGUUGCUUGGAGAUUGUUGCUCUUCAAAAGAAAAGCUAUUGUUGGGGGUUCCGCAGGACUCCAUUCAAUCUCCAAUGCUCUUUAACAUCUACAUGAAAGUGCGGGGAGAGAUCAUGGGGGAUUUGGUGCAGGGUGUUAUCCAUAUGCUGCUGAUAACCCAAUCUAUUUCUCCAUGUCAACUUCAUUAGGAAAUAGCCUAUCUUCCCUAAAUGCUUACUUGGAGUCAGUAAUGGGCUGGAUGAGGAAAAACAAACUGAGGUUGAAUACAAGGAAGAUGACUGGAAGAUAGGAAGUGGCUUAGAUCUGUCUGUUCUGGAAGGGGUUACACUCCCCCAGAAAGAGUAGAGUUUUCCAGCCAAUUAAAAAUGAAGACCUUUCUAAGCCAAUGCACACACUGGAGCAGCUCUUCACUCCAACCCUGAUAUCUCAACUGCCUUCAAUCAAAAAAAAUCUCAGUCAUCGACUCUGAUUCCAAAAAAGGUGUUUUCUACCUAAGCCUGAACAGGGACUUCCAGUCCAAGACAUGGAUGAUUAUGAACUCAACAGAGCCUCCAGAGACUGCUCCGCUCCCAAAAAAGGGAGACCAGAGAAGCCACACCAACAUCACCCUUCAAUCCUGAACAUGAGGUAGAUCAUGAUCUGCUUCACUUGGAAGGCGAUACCAUCACCCCUAGCUGCUCUCCUCAACACUGACCUCCUCCGGACUGAAGAGCCUCUCCUAUACGAUACUGACGAUACAGAAGAGAGUCUACAUGAUACCAAUACUCUCCGGGUGUCAGAGAAUCUCCUUGCCGUCGGUACUCUCCAAAACACUCAUCGGAUUGGGUAUAUUGUGACUGAGAAAGUUGACAUUGAGAUGACUCUACAUCUGAUCAUGCCUGAUCAUUACGCUUACUUCUUCGACAACAGAUAUGGCAUUGAUCAUAGGAAAAACUAUCUCCAGCCUUGCUCUUGGGCUUCACAUCAACACCAAUCUCUGGGGAGAUUGGACCAUCCAGACUCUUGGUCCCGAUCACACUCUCCUCAACACUGCAGUACUUGGUCUCAGUCAAGAGAGAAGAGAACUCAACCAUGUAAGCAGCCGGAUGUUGACUCUCUACCACUGGAUUCCUUGACUGAAGAAUCUGCCUCAGAGGACGAUGCAGAAACAUCCCUGAACAUUGCAUCAGGUUCCACCUUCAGAUCUAAUGGGAGAUCCAAAGCCUCUGUCUCCAUCAGAGUACCUGAAGCUCUUCACUGACCAAGUGGUCCAUAUGGCUAACUCUUUAGGUAUCCAGAUGAACAAACCUCCUAAAUCUUCUCCUGAUCCCAUUUUGGGGCCAAUUGAUGCGGACACUUGGCACUCUAACUUCCUACCACUGAACUCUGCUUGAAUGGACAUUGUCAAAGCUUGCUGGGGGAAACCUGCAUCGUUGCCACCUACUUCUAGGAAGCUGGAAGGUUUUUACAAGGUUCAAGCUAGGGACAGUCAGUUCCUUCUGCACCAUCCUACUCCUAACUCCAUGACAGUUGAAACUGCUCAGUUCCAAUCCAAGAACAGAAUCCUUUUGGCGCUGACAGUAUGAUUCAGUCAAUAUCUGUUGUGGUAGCUCUGCACGAGCACACGUGGAUGUGUUCAACUAGCUUGGCACCUGAAACAAGAACAAGAAUAGUGUCGUGGGCAUGCUGGAAGAGUCCGAGGAGGAGUUGGAAGUGGAGACAGAGCUGAGAGCAGAGGAGGGUGGGCAAGGACCAGAAGUUGCAAAGGAGAGUGGGUCCGACGCACAAGGAGUCAAAGAUGAGUUAGAGCUGGGUGAGGCAGCUCUUGUGGAGGAGGCAUGUCCAGUCUCAGCUGUGGAGAGGCGCCGGACCACGAGACAGCAAGAGUUAAGGAGCCGCGCGCGUAGAAGAACAGGCAAAGGUGCUGACUCAGCAACUCUUAAUUCACAGCACUGGGGGUCAGCCUACAUAAGAUGCUACCCUGCUGAUAGCAACAAGAGUUUCCUGUGAGCUAAUCGGCUGUGUUUGUGUAUUAUUUGGACUGUGUUUGGAGCCUGCACUUUGUUGACCUUGCCUGUGGAUUUGGCUUUGGACUCUGUUGGAUUGAUUCGGACUGGACCUGGUUUGGAGAAUGGAUUCCUGUUAGAUUUCGCUCUUCUGCUUCUGCCUCUGUUGUGCUUCGUCUGGCUAGCCUGACAGAUUUACGACAAAGAGAGAACUUGCCUCUUGAUGGCCAGGCUCUUGUUGGAAAGGAUACAAAACGGAAAGGAUACACAAACUGAGAAAGACAGGGAAAUCUAUGAACUCUCAGCAAGCUGCCUACAAUUU